rnacentral:rRNA from 1 species
GGACCUGACUGCUAUCGGAUUGAUACUAAGCCAUGCGAGUCAUUGUAGAAUCCAGGGCAGACGGCUCAGUAACGCGUAGUCAACCUACCCUAUGGACGGGAAUAACCUCGGGAAACUGAGUAUAAUGCCCGAUAGAACAUUAUACCUGGAAUGGUUUAUGUUCCAAAUGAUUUAUCGCCGUAGGAUGGGACUGCGGCCUAUCAGUUUGUUGGUGAGGUAAUGGCCCACCAAGACUAUUACAGGUACGGGCUCUGAGAGGAGUGGCCCGGAGAUGGGUACUGAGACACGGACCCAGGCCCUAUGGGGCGCAGCAGGCGAGAAAACUUUGCAAUGUGCGAAAGCACGACAAGGUUAAUCCGAGUGGUUUCUGCUAAAGGAACCUUUUGUCAGUCCUAGAAACACUGAUGAAUAAGGGGUGGGCAAGUUCUGGUGU